CCUACGGGAGGCAGCAGUGGGGAAUAUUGCACAAUGGGGGAAACCCUGAUGCAGCGACGCCGCGUGAGUGAAGAAGUAAUUCGUUAUGUAAAGCUCUAUCAGCAGGGAAGAAAAUGACGGUACCUGACCAAGAAGCCCCGGCUAACUACGUGCCAGCAGCCGCGGUAAUACGUCGGGGGCAAGCGUUAUCCGGAUUUACUGGGUGUAAAGGGAGCGUAGACGGCAGGGCAAGUCUGGAGUGAAAGGCUGGGGCUCAACCCCCGGACUGCUCUGGAAACUGCCAGGCUGGAGUGCAGGAGAGGUAAGUGGAAUUCCUGGUGUAGCGGUGAAAUGCGUAGAUAUUAGGAGGAACACCAGUGGCGAAGGCGGCUUACUGGACUGUAACUGACGUUGAGGCUCGAAAGCGUGGGGAGCAAACAGGAUUAGAUACCCCUGUAGUC
rnacentral:rRNA from 1 species